CCCCCAUGUGAUCGAUCGGCGCCGCUACUCUCGCCGCCGCGGCUCCCUCCGGUGCCACUCCCGUGGGCUCUCCCCGGCUGCUCCGCCGCCUCCAUUCUCGCUCAGGAAAGAGAGAUUGCUACUUUUCCUGCAUGAUUUUCCCAGCAAGAAUGAUCCAAACAGUGCCAAAAGCUGCUUUUAGACGGUUGCUGGAUUCGAAGGAAUGAUACAUUCUAUUAGCAGGGUGAAUAUUCAUGUCAUAUUGACAUGUCAUCUCCAAAUUUCAACGGUGGAGAGGGAUCGGUUGACUGAAAACAAGUACGUAGUAGAGAAUUGACACUACAUUACAAGAACAGAUAUUGACAGCGUGUCAUGCAUGCAUGCGUGCAUGUGGCCUUCCGUGCGCUGGUGCGUUUGAGAUGUCUGGCUGCCGGCGCUGCGGCCACAUGCGAAGCUAUGCGCCUAUGCUUCCAGGCAGCGGCAGCAC